rnacentral:rRNA from 1 species
CCAAGGAGUGCAGCACGCGUGCGAUCUUUGGGCUUGUAAACCCUCGGGCGGAAUGAGAGUAAAGGCGACCCUCCGUUUGUGUGGGUGCCGAGGCGAGAACCGGCGUGGUGGUGUCGGCCCAUCGUCGACCGAUCCCGGGCCACGCUGUCGGGAUUCGAGUGAGAGCGCGUUUGUUGCGACCCGAAAGAUGGUGAACUAUGCCUGAAUAGGCGAAGCCAGAGGAAACUCUGGUGGAAGCUCGCAGCGGUUCUGACGUGCAAACCGAUCGUCAAAUUUGGGUAUAGGGGCGAAAGACUAAUCGAACCAUCUAG